CCCGCUAAUCACGGCACGAAAUGCGGCGCGGCGCGGCGCGGGCAGCAGACAACAGAUUGUCGUCGUACCCCCCUCAAGCGAGAACAGUGCAAUUUGAGACUGGUGGAAAUGUCGCAUUGGAACGGGGGAAACUUCCCAGGAGAUCGCCGUGGCAACUCGCUGAAUGGAAUCCACGAGCUUGUUAGGCCCAUUCGUGUCACCUGCUCACCAAGGGCGGGCACAAAGGACCUCGCGGAAUGACGCGGAGUCUGACUAUUCGGAGGCCUACACGCAGGACAUAAGUGCCUAAACACAGGCCCCCGGAGCUCCGGGCCGGGAGCCGCGGAUGGUUCUUCGGACGGGAAUGACGGACGCCGAAGCUAGGCUAAAGGCCUCCACCGCCACCGAAGCUCAGCUAAAGGCCUCCGCCGACGCCAAAACUCGGCCAAUGGCCUCCCUGGAUGUCGAAGCUCGGCUCGCAGCCCGCCUUUCCCAAGGCAAAGCAAUUUGGUUGUUUUAAAUACACAUAUUCUCUGGUUACUUUGGCGCUAAACCUCAGCUGAGAGUGACAAUAAACAGCUUCAAGUCUCA